rnacentral:rRNA from 2 species
UUUGUGGAGAGUUUGAUCCUGGCUCAGGACGAACGCUGGCGGCGUGCUUAACACAUGCAAGUCGAACGGAAAGGCCCCUUCGGGGGUGCUCGAGUGGCGAACGGGUGAGUAACACGUGGGUGAUCUGCCUCGCACUCUGGGAUAAGCCUGGGAAACUGGGUCUAAUACUGGAUAGGACCGCGCUUUAGUGUGUGUGGUGGAAAGUUUUUUCGGUACGAGAUGAGCCCGCGGCCUAUCAGCUUGUUGGUGGGGUAAUGGCCUACCAAGGCGUCGACGGGUAGCCGGCCUGAGAGGGUGGACGGCCACAUUGGGACUGAGAUACGGCCCAGACUCCUACGGGAGGCAGCAGUGGGGAAUAUUGCACAAUGGGCGCAAGCCUGAUGCAGCGACGCCGCGUGAGGGAUGACGGCCUUCGGGUUGUAAACCUCUUUCGACAGGGACGAAGCUUUUGUGACGGUACCUGUAUAAGAAGCACCGGCUAACUACGUGCCAGCAGCCGCGGUAAUACGUAGGGUGCGAGCGUUGUCCGGAAUUACUGGGCGUAAAGAGCUCGUAGGUGGUUUGUCGCGUCGUCUGUGAAAUUCCGGGGCUUAACUCCGGGCGUGCAGGCGAUACGGGCAUAACUUGAGUGCUGUAGGGGAGACUGGAAUUCCUGGUGUAGCGGUGGAAUGCGCAGAUAUCAGGAGGAACACCGAUGGCGAAGGCAGGUCUCUGGGCAGUAACUGACGCUGAGGAGCGAAAGCAUGGGGAGCGAACAGGAUUAGAUACCCUGGUAGUCCAUGCCGUAAACGGUGGGCGCUAGGUGUGAGGGUCUUCCACGACUUUCGUGCCGUAGCUAACGCAUUAAGCGCCCCGCCUGGGGAGUACGGCCGCAAGGCUAAAACUCAAAGGAAUUGACGGGGGCCCGCACAAGCGGCGGAGCAUGUGGAUUAAUUCGAUGCAACGCGAAGAACCUUACCUGGGCUUGACAUAUACAAGAUCGGCGUAGAGAUACGUUUUCCCUUGUGGUUUGUAUACAGGUGGUGCAUGGUUGUCGUCAGCUCGUGUCGUGAGAUGUUGGGUUAAGUCCCGCAACGAGCGCAACCCUUGUCUUAUGUUGCCAGCACGUGAUGGUGGGGACUCAUGAGAGACUGCCGGGGUUAACUCGGAGGAAGGUGGGGAUGACGUCAAAUCAUCAUGCCCCUUAUGUCCAGGGCUUCACACAUGCUACAAUGGUCGGUACAACGCGUUGCGAGCCUGUGAGGGUGAGCGAAUCGCUGAAAGCCGGCCUCAGUUCGGAUUGGGGUCUGCAACUCGACCCCAUGAAGUCGGAGUCGCUAGUAAUCGCAGAUCAGCAACGCUGCGGUGAAUACGUUCCCGGGCCUUGUACACACCGCCCGUCACGUCAUGAAAGUUGGUAACACCCGAAGCCCAUGGCCCAACCAGUUUCUGGGGGGAGUGGUCGAAGGUGGGAUCGGCGAUUGGGACGAAGUCGUAACAAGGUAGCCGUACCGGAAGGUGCGGCUGGAUCACCUCCUUUCUAAGGAG